rnacentral:tRNA from 1 species
GCGGGUGUAGUUCAGUGGUAGAACGUCUGCUUGCCAAGCAGAAGGUCGUGGGUUCGAAUCCCAUCGCCCGCU